GUCAAAAGGAACAUGUGGCCUUGCCUAAGUUUGGUCAACAUUGAUGGGAGCUUUCUGUAAGCCAGAAACUUCAAAUAAACAGAGUUCCCAGCCAAGGAAAAGAAGAAACAGUGUGUGAGCAGAGAGUCACAAUUAAGUCUGCAAAUUUAUUUUUUAAGCUAGUCUUUGCCUAAAUGAAGACCGAAGUACUCCGAAAAUCUACAAUUACAUGAUUCUAAAAGAGGCAAGUUUGUGAUGUGUCUUUCUUUGGGUAUUUCUUUGGAUAGCCUAGAGUAACGAAAGACCUAGAUGUGGUGCUAAACCAUAGAUAUGGAUGGACUCAAAUCACCUCUAUGUAUUACCUUCUCAAUCCUUACCAAAUCAAUUUCUGGUAUGGACAGCACACCCAGUUUCCCCAGAUGCUCUACCUGAAACCAAAGGUGGAACUAUGACUGAGGAUUUUCUCAGUAUUUUCAUCAAAGCCGAGUAAUAUCUUCUCAUCAUAGCGCAAAGGAAUUUCAGUUUCUGAUAUCCUAUUUGACUUUGACAAUAAAUCAAAAGAUCCUGCUCCUUC